GGAAAGUGUCUCUCUUUAUUACAGACAUUCACUCCUCAUCAGUCCAGGACAGAAGUGGAGGGAUUUGCCACCUAGAGCGAGUGACCUCUCUCACAUUUACAGAAGGAAGGAGUGAAAGGAGGAUUACUGAGUGAUUCGGCUCUGAUUUCUUCAGCGUUC
rnacentral:lncRNA from 1 species